rnacentral:rRNA from 1 species
UACGUAGGGGGCUAGCGUUGUCCGGAAUCAUUGGGCGUAAAGCGCGUGUAGGCGGUCCGGUAAGUCCGCUGUGAAAGUCGAGGGCUCAACCCUCGAAUGCCGGUGGAUACUGUCGGGCUUGAGUACGGGAGAGGCGAGUGGAAUUCCUGGUGUAGCGGUGAAAUGCGCAGAUAUCAGGAAGAACACCCGUGGCGAAAGCGGCUCUCUGGAACGGUACUGACGCUGAGACGCGAAAGCGUGGGGAGCGAACAGG